CCACGCUACAGUCGAGUGAGGCUGAUCUUUCAGUGAAUAGUACUGUUCUUCAUGCUUGGCCUACAGCAAGCGUUUGUGGAGCGCGACGGGUACCGACAACACUUGUACGAAAGACGACGCGUUUAGAUACCCACUCCGUUUACCUGGCACUCUUUCGAAAUGCGGGGCCUGAUAACUCCAAUCUGCCUGACCAAUCCGGGGCAGCUGGCUUGGGGCUCUGGUUACAGCACCGGGUAUCAGUAAAACGGAAGUGGUGUGCACAACGCACGCACCGCCAGCUCAAGUCCCUAAGACAUGGGUAGACUAUUGGAAAGUGUAACGGAAAAACGGGAAUUCCCCCCCUCUCUCCCCCCCUUCCGCUCCGCUGGAGAAAGGUGGAAAAGCGUAACAAGGUUUCCGUAGGUGAACCUGCGGAAGGAUCAUUAAUAAAACGAAUCUGCGGUUUAGGUCAGCCCUGACUGUAGUGUUUUAAACCAACUGUGAACUAUAAAACCUUAUUGCUUCGGUAGCUGGGUUUGGGUCUCACCGCCCUGCCCGUCAGCCUGCCGGCAGCAACUAAACCAAAACUUGCUUUAAAAAUUAUGUCUGAAACCAAUCAUUUUCGAAUGAAAAUUAAAACUUUCAACAACGGAUCUCUUGGUUCUCGCAUCGAUGAAGAACGCAGCGAAACGCGAUAGUUAAUGUGAAUUGCAGAAUUCAGUGAAUCAUCGAGUCUUUGAACGCACAUUGCGCCCAUCGGUAUUCCUUUGGGCAUGUCUGUUUGAGCGUCAUUUCAACUCUCUAUCCAUAAAUUCUUUUUGUGCGAUUAGGUUUUGAGCUCGGUUUUGAUGGGUCAAACCACCAGCCGGCUUUAAAGUUGAACGCUCUGCGGGUGACUUUCUACCUGACCGAACAUAGUAAAAUUUUUAUUCUUGUUCUACUUGGUACCAAGUUGUUUACCCAGCCUGAACAAACUUAUAUUUCUAAGGUUUGACCUCAGAUCAGACAAGGAUGCCCACGCCUGAACUUAAGCAACUAAAACGGGAAAAAAAAUGCUCGUUUCGUAGUAGCGGAGAGGUGUACGUACGCCUUUCUCGCUAGUGUAUACAAGCGAAAUCCUCUACCGUAGCAUUCACGGAUGCUAACGAUUUGUGCUGUGUUUGAGUUCUCGUUUCUAGAGAAGGUGAUCACGAUAUCUCGGUUCGAUCCCUCAGCUAGUACGCUGCUAAAG
rnacentral:rRNA from 1 species